rnacentral:rRNA from 1 species
UACGUAGGGGGCAAGCGUUGUCCGGAUUUAUUGGGCGUAAAGAGCUCGUAGGCGGUGUGUCGCGUCGGCCGUGAAAACCUGCAGCUUAACUGUGGGCUUGCGGUCGAUACGGGCAUCACUGGAGUUCGGCAGGGGAGACUGGAAUUCCUGGUGUGGCGGUGAAAUGCGCAGAUAUCAGGAGGAACACCGGUGGCGAAGGCGGGUCUCUGGGCCGAUACUGACGCUGAGGAGCGAAAGCGUGGGGAGCGAACAGG